AGUGCAGUGAAUAGAAGACACUUCUCUGCACCCCAAAAGCUCCAUGCUGAUUGCGAGAAGGAAAUGCUGGAUGGAGGGGUUCCUGGAACUACUGUGAGGGUUUCUUUUGAUUUCUCCUGCUUAGAAAUGGUGAGAGAACUUUGGAUGUGGAACGUGGAGGAGGAGGAACACGAAGUGGGGAUCUGCACUUGGGGUGGUCAACACUGCGGAUGCCCAGCAAAGGCACUGCCUGGUCCACCUCCCGGAGGGGUCUCUGCGCCCCAGUCGGCAUCGCAGCUGAUGGUGAAACUUUUGGUGUGGCAGAAGAGUGUCCACAAACUUUGGAAGAUCGCUGCUUAGAGUGAUGAAUGGAGUUGUAUUUUGAAUAAAAUAGCUAAGCAUCCUUUUGUGAGCAAGGAGCAUGAUGGUACUUAGACCUACCAUUUCUCGUUACGGUGGUUAUGGUUACGGUGGGGCUGGUGUGUUUACCUGGAGCCUGAAUGUCCACUGGGACAUGAUACCCACUGGGAUUUUUUUGUGUCAACCUGGUCUCUGAUGUCCACCUGGGGAUUGGGUAUCCACCUAAGGCCUGAUGUUUACCUGGAGCCAGAUGUGCACCUGAGGCCUGAUGUCUAUCUGUGGCCUUAUGUUCACCUGGGGACUGAUGCACACCUGAAGCAUAGGUUUUCACCUGGGGCCUGAUACCCACCUGUAGUGUGGGUGUCAACCUUGGGGCUGAUGUUCAGCUGGCGUCCACUGUCUACCUGGGGCCUGGUGUACACAUGGGGCCUGGGCAUCCACCUGAGACUUGAUGUUUAAUAUGGCCUAGAGUUCUUUGGGGGCCUGUUGUACCCUGGAGCCUGGCGUAAACCUGGAGUCUGGUGUCCCAGCUGGACACCUGGGUCCCAGGUGAUCUUCAGGCCCUAGGUGAAAACUCCAGGCUCUAAGUGGACAACCAGGCCCCAGGCUGAUGUUACUGGGCCAGAUGUCUACCAGCCCCAGGUGAAACUCCAGGCUCCAAGUGGACAACAUGACCCCAGUUCCAGUAGACCUGGAAUCCAAAUCAACACCAGGCCCCAGAUGGACACCCAGGCCUGUGGGACAUCAGACUCCAGAAGGUCAUCUGGCUCGAGUGGAUAUCAAGCCCAGUGGAUACCUGUCCCCAGUGGAUAUCAGGCCCCACUUUGACACCAGUCCCUGGUAGAUACCUAGGCCUCAGGUGGAUAUCCAGUCUCUAGCUAAGCAUCAGCUCCAGGUGGACCCAGGCCCUAGCUGACUGGGACUAGUGUUCAUAUGGGCCACGUGUCCAUCUGGCCUAGUGUCAACUUGUAGCCUGAUGUCAACCUGGGAGCUGUGUUCACCAGAGGACUAAAGUCCUCCUGGUGCCUGAUGUCCAACUUGGGACUCUGUGUCCACCUGGAGACUGAUAUCACUUGGACCAGAUGUCCAACUGGAGCAAGAUGUCCACCUGUAGCUAGAACUUCACCUAAGGCCUGAUGUUCCCCAGGCCUACAGGCCUAUGUAUCUACCUAGGACUUGUGUCCAGGUGGGGCCGAGUUCCAUAUGGGGUCUGGAAUUAACCUGGGACCUGAUGUCCACCUGAGGCCUGGGUGUUCUUCUGGAGACUGAUAUCUAUCUGGGUCCUGGGUGUCCUCCUGUGGUCUGAUGUCCACUUGUAGGCUGUGUCCACCUGGGGCCUGGGUGUCCACCUAGGAACCUGAUGUAUACCUGAAGUCCAGUAUCUACCUGGGUACUGAUGUCUACCAGGAAAGUGAUAUAAACCUGGGGCCUGAUAGCCACCUGGGCCCUGAGUGUCCACAUAUGUUCUGAUUUCCUACGGCCUGAGUGUAGGGUCUGAGUGCCACCUGGGUCCUGAUGUUCACCAGGAACCUAGGUAUUCACUUGGGGCUUGAUGUUCACCUGGGGCCUAAUGUCCAUGUGAGACCUGGUAUUCACCUAGAGCCUGGGCAUCCACCUGGGCAUAGGGAACCACUUGUGGCCUAGUGUUCCCCUGAAGCCUAGGUGUCAACCCAGGGCAUAAUGUCUUCUUGGGGCCUGCUGUCCACCUGCAGACUGGUGUCUGCAUAGGGCCUGGUAUCCAUCUGGGGUCUGGUGUCUGCAUGGGGCCUGGUGUCCACCUGAAGACUGAGUAUAGACCUCAGACCUGAUGUAUGCCUGGGGCCUAUUUAUCCACCUGGGGACUAGCAUUCAUCUGGGGCCUCAUGUCCACUUAAGCCCUGGGUGUCAACCUGGUGCCUAAUGGCCACCAGGGAUCUGUGUACUCACUUGGGGCCUGGUGCUCCCAUAGGGCCUAGGUAUACACCUGGGGAAUGAUGUGCAGGUGGAGGUGGAUGUCUUCCUGGGUGCUGGUGUUCACCUGGGGACAAGGGUCUCCCUGGGGACUGGUGUUUAUCGGGAGCCUCAUAUGCACCUUGAACCUGCCGUCUACCUAGGGCCUGAUGUCCAUGUUAAGGCUGGGUGUCCACCUGGGGCCUGGUUGUCCACUUGGGGCCUAAUGUCCACCUAAGACCUAGUGUUCACCUAGGGCCUGGGUGUCCACCUGGAGCCUGAUGUUCAGCUGGAGAUGCAUCCACCCGAGACCUAGGUAUCCACCCAGGGUAUGGUGUCGAACUGGGGCCUUAUGUCCACCUGGGGACUAGAUAUCUACCCGAGGCUUGAUGUCCACCUGGAGCCCGAUAUCCACCUCAGAGCUGGGUGUCCACCCAGGUUCUGGUAUCCACCCGGAGCCUGGUGUUCAUCUGGGGCCCAGUGCCCACCUGGAACCUGGGUAUCACCAUGGGGCCUGGGUGUCCACUUGGAACGUGAUGUGCACCUGGGACCUGAGUUUCCACCUAGGGCCUGAUGACCACCUGAGACCCAGGUGUCCUCCUGGGGUCUGAUGUCUACCUGAAGCCUAGGUAACCACCUAGGGCAUGGUGUUACCUGUGCCUUGAUUUCCACCUGAGCCUGGUGUACACCUGGGGCCUGGGUGUCCAUCUGAGGCCUGAUGUACACCUCAAGUCCAGUGUCCACUUGUGGCCUGAUGUCAACUUGGAAGCUGAUAUCCACCUGGGGACUGAUGUUCUCCUGGGGCCUGAUAUCCAACUGGGAUCAGAUGUUCACCUAAGGCCUAGAGUUAAUCUGGGGCCUGAUGGUCACCAGGGUCCCAGGUGUCCACCUAGGGCCUAGUGUCCAACUAGGGCCUGAUGUCCACCUGGAGUCUAGUAUCCACCUUGGCCCUGAUGCUACUUGAGGCCUAGGUGUCUUCCUAGAUCCUGAGUCCCCAAUUAGGCCCUGAUGUCCACAUGAGGCCUGGUGUCCUUAUAGGGCCUGAUAUCUACCUAAGGCCUGGGUAUCCUCCUGCAGCCUGAUGCUCACCUGUAGGCUGGUGUCCAUAUGGGGCCUGGGUGUCCACUUGUGAGCUUGAUGUACACCUGGACUCCAGUGUCCCCUUGGUUACUAAUACAUACCAGGAAAAUGGUAUAUACCUGGGGCCUGAUAUACACCUGGAGCCUGUGUGUCCACUUGAGCCCUGAUGUCCACCUGGGGCCUCGUGUUUACCUGGGGCCUAUAUCCACCCACUACCCAAAGUCAAGUUGGGAAAAGGACCCAGCAUAGGUGAGGAGCACAGAACAGGGACCUCAUUCAUAAGAAAAUCUGCUGUAGAAUGGGUGCUCUAAGCUCUUAAAACAGCCUCUGCCUCAGGAAAGACUGUCCAGGGCAUAGGAAGCCCACACACAGGGUGGGAUGACAAGUUUGCAUCUGGCACUGCUGGGAGCCCUGGGGGUCUCUGCCCUUUUAGCCACGUUGUCUCCUGCCUCUUAGGGUGGUGGGAUUCUGGGCUCUGAUUGCAGCAGGUGGAUUCACUUAGCUCUCCUCCCCUUUUAGCAUUACUGUCUUCUGUAAUAAACCUCUCACUUUGAUCUGCCAGGCUGUCAAAUGAUUUGAUUGCCCUCUCUGUUUUGGUCCAAUGGUUCAUCAAUCCAAAUAUCCACAAUAGAAGGACAGAUUUUAGUCUCUUCAUACAGUGGGAUAUUUCACAGCUAUUAAAACAAAAUAAAUGCUUGUAUAUUGAUAGGCAAAGUCAUCCCACAUCAAUAACAUUUAGACACAUUUUAUGAUCCCACAUCUAUAUCUAUACAUAAUGUUUGCCACUGCUUAAACAAAACAACAUCUAAGCUUUAGACUCCAAAUGGAAUUACAGGGGAGUCUUGAUGUCUGUGUUCUGCAGUUCUGCCAUGUUUGAAAUUGUCAAAUAAACAUGGUGCCUUUCCGGUA
rnacentral:lncRNA from 1 species